UGUUUUGGGUUAUUGUCCUGCUGAAAGGUGAAUUCAUCUCCCAGUGUCUGAUGGAAAGCAGACUGAACCAGCUUGGCCUCUAGGAUUUUGACUGUGCUUAGCUCCAUUCCCUUUAUUAUUAUUUUUUUUUUAAACUCUCCAGUUCUUAACGAUGACCAGCAUACCCAUAACAUGAUGCAGCCAUGCUUGAAAAUAUGAAGUGGUACUCAGUGAUGUGUUUUUAUUUUUUAUUUGCCCCAAACAUAAUGAUUUGUAUUCAGGACAUAAAGGACAUUUCUUUGCCAAAUAUUUUGCUGUUUUACUUUAGUGCCUUAUUGCAAACAGGAUGUUCUGGAAUAUUUGUAUUCUGUACAGGCUUCCUUCUAUUCCCUCCAUCAUUUAUAUUAUUAUUGUGGAGUAACUACAGUGUUGUUGGUCCAUCCUCAGUUUUCUCCUGCCACAGCUAUUCAACUCUAACUGUUUUAAAGUCACCGUUGGCCUCAUGGUGAAAUCCCUGAGCGGUUUCCUUCCUCUCCGGCAACUGAGUUAGGAAGGACGCCUGUAUCUUUGUAGUGACUGGAAGUAUUGAUACACCAUCCAUCGUGUAAUUUAUAACUUCUAUGGUAGAUACCAGACCCUCAGGUUCAUAGACUAUAACUCUAUGGUAGAUACCAGACCCUCAGGUUCACACAGACUAUAACUCUAUGGUAGAUACCAGACCCUCAGGUUCAUAGACUAUAACUCUAUGGUAGAUACCAGACCCUCAGGUUCACACAGACUAUAACUCUAUGGUAGAUACCAGACCCUCAGGUUCAUAGACUAUAACUCUAUGGUAGAUACCAGACCCUCAGGUUCAGACUAUAACUCUAUGGUAGAUACCAGACCCUCAGGUUCAUAGACUAUAACUCUAUGGUAGAUACCAGACCCUCAGGUUCAGACUAUAACUCUAUGGUAGAUACCAGACCCUCAGGUUCAUAGACUAUAACUCUAUGGUAGAUACCAGACCCUCAGGUUCAUAGACUAUAACUCUAUGGUAGAUACCAGACCCUCAGGUUCACACAGACUAUAACUCUAUGGUAGAUACCAGACCCUCAGGUUCAUAGACUAUAACUCUAUGGUAGAUACCAGACCCUCAGGUUCACACAGACUAUAACUCUAUGGUAGAUACCAGACCCUCAGGUUCAUAGACUAUAACUCUAUGGUAGAUACCAGACCCUCAGGUUCACACAGACUAUAACUCUAUGGUAGAUACCAGACCCUCAGGUUCACACAGACUAUAACUCUAUGGUAGAUACCAGACCCUCAGGUUCACACAGACUAUAACUCUAUGGUAGAUACCAGACCCUCAGGUUCACACAGACUAUAACUCUAUGGUAGAUACCAGACCCUCAGGUUCAUAGACUAUAACUCUAUGGUAGAUACCAGACCCUCAGGUUCAUAGACUAUAACUCUAUGGUAGAUACCAGACCCUCAGGUUCAUAGACUAUAACUCUAUGGUAGAUACCAGACCCUCAGGUUCAUAGACUAUAACUCUAUGGUAGAUACCAGACCCUCAGGUUCAUAGACUAUAACUCUAUGGUAGAUACCAGACCCUCAGGUUCAUAGACUAUAACUCUAUGGUAGAUACCAGACCCUCAGGUUCAUAGACUAUAACUCUAUGGUAGAUACCAGACCCUCAGGUUCAUAGACUAUAACUCUAUGGUAGAUACCAGACCCUCAGGUUCAUAGACUAUAACUCUAUGGUAGAUACCAGACCCUCAGGUUCAGACUAUAACUCUAUGGUAGAUACCAGACCCUCAGGUUCAGACUAUAACUCUAUGGUAGAUACCAGAC